rnacentral:rRNA from 1 species
AAAACAUGUCUUUUUGAAAAUAAUUUAAAGUYUGAUCUGCUCCAUGAUUAAGUAUUAAAUAGCUGCAGAAUAUUAACUGUACAAAGGUAGCAUAAUAAAUAGUUUUUUAAUUAAAAGCUGGAAUGAAUGAUUUGAUAAGGUUUAUGUUGUCUCUAAUUUAAUAAUAUUAGAAUUUUUAUUUUGGUAAAAAUACUAAAAUGAAUUUAAAAGACGAGAAGACCCUAUAGAUUUUAAUAUUUUUAUUUAUAAAAAAUUAAAAUUAAUAAAUAAAUUUUUAGAUAAAAAUAUUUGGUUGGGGAAAUUAUUAAAUUUAAAAAAUUUUAAAAAAAUUUAAACAAUAAUUAUUGGAUAUUUGAUCNUUAAUUUUUAAAUUAUAAGAAUAAAAUACCUUAGGGAUAACAGCGUAAUUUUUUUUAAGAGAUCUUAUCAAAAAAAAAGUUUGCGACCUCGAUGUUGAAUUAAGAUUAAAUUUUAAUGAAGGUGUUAAAAAUUUUUGGUCUGUUCGACCAUUAAAAUCUUACGUGAUCUGAGUUCA